CCCACCUCCAAAAAAAAAAAAAAAGAUACUGUUCUCAAAUAUAUCCAAUCUAUAAUUACCGUUAACUACGAUAUGAAUGAAAUUAUGACAAGGCCCACUUGGUAAAAUCAAAACCCAGAAAGACAAAUCAAAUAAAGAUGACAAAUUUCACAGACAAAAAUUUCCUUUAAAAGCCUUCCCAAUUGAAUCAAAGAGAUUCUUAAGAAACAAGUACCAGAAAAUUACUUAAAAGGAAAUAAUACAUUGGUAGGUUAGAAUGAAAGUGUAAAAGCAAAACGAACGUUCUUGACUGAAAACCAGUAGUAAAGAUAGCAUUUUGAAUGGACAAAAAUGCAAAAGAAAGCAAAGGGAAGGAGGAGGCAAGACUGUGGAAGCAGGAGAAGAAGUGAAUAUUAAAAGAGCAAGUUGCAGAGAUCUAGGACGUGGAUAUACAAGAGGUACACGUACUCUGUACAAAGGGUCAAAAAUUUAAAACUGGAAUUUUGAGAUUAAGACAAUUCAUUAAAUUCUUUUAAAUGUUUGGAUGAAAGAUAGAGAGAGAGAGUGGGAUUAU
rnacentral:misc_RNA from 1 species